rnacentral:misc_RNA from 1 species
CUGAGUAAUUGGGUCUUUAUGGCUCAUAACUCCCACCCUUUUGUGUACCUUACCAAAAUUUUAAGUUGCCUUGGUAGGAACCUACCUCCCUAAAAAAGGGGCGGGCCUACCAUUGGAACUAUUUUAAACUCUUUAUCAAUUGAGUCGUCUGAGAAAUAAAUUCAAAUGAAUUA